rnacentral:rRNA from 1 species
UACGGAGGGUGCAAGCGUUAUCCGGAUUCACUGGGUUUAAAGGGUGCGUAGGUGGGUUGGUAAGUCAGUGGUGAAAUCCCCGAGCUUAACUUGGGAACUGCCAUUGAUACUAUCAGUCUUGAAUACCGUGGAGGUCAGCGGAAUAUGUCAUGUAGCGGUGAAAUGCGUAGAUAUCUGGAAGAACACCGGUGGCGAAGGCGGUCAACUGGCCCUAAACUGACGCUCAGGCACGAAAGCGUGGGGAUCAAACAGG